GAAGGAAGGGAUGACUGGUGACAGAGUGAGGGAAUGACUGGUGACUAGUGACCGAGUGAGGGAGGGAGUGGGUGACUAGUGACAGAGUGAGGAAGGGGGUGACACAGUGAUAGUCACCCCAUUCCUCCCUCUGUCACUAAUCACCACCUCGCUCACUCUCACUAGUCACCCCUUCCCUCCCUCACUCUGUCACUAGUCACACCCUCCCUCUCUCUGUCACUAGUCACACCCUUACUCACUGUCACUAGAGUGAG
rnacentral:sRNA from 1 species